UACGUAGGUGACGAGCGUUAUCCGGAAUUACUGGGCGUAAAGCGCACGCAAGCGGUCUGACAAGUCUGGCGUGAAAUUCUCUGGCUUAACCAGGGGGGGUCGCUGGAAACUGUUGGGCUUGAGGCGAUGAGAGGGGUGCAGAAUUCCAGGUGUAGCGGUGAAAUGCGUAGAUAUCUGGAGGAACACCGGUGGCGAAGGCGGCAUCCUGGACCGGCAUUGACGCUGAGGAGCGAAAGCCAGGGGAGCAAACGGG
rnacentral:rRNA from 1 species